rnacentral:rRNA from 1 species
GACGAACGCUGGAGGCGUGCUUAACACAUGCAAGUCGAACGAUGAAAUGGAGCUUGCUCCAUGGAUUAGUGGCGAACGGGUGAGUAACACGUGAAUAACCUGCCCUUAAUAUUGGAAUAACCCAGGGAAACCUGGGCUAAUACCGGAUAAGUAAACCUGUGGCAUCACAUGGUUUUGGAAAGUUUUUCGAUUAAGGAUGGAUUCGCGGCCUAUCAGCUUGUUGGUGAGGUAAUGGCUCACCAAGGCGACGACGAGUAGCCGGCCUGAGAGGGUGAACGGCCACACUGGGACUGAGACACGGCCCAGACUCCUACGGGAGGCAGCAGUGGGGAAUAUUGCGCAAUGGACGAAAGUCUGACGCAGCGACGCCUCGUGAGGGACGAAGGUCUUCGGAUUGUAAACCUCUUUCAGCAGGGACGAAGCGAAAGUGACGGUACCUGCAGAAGAAGCACCGGCUAACUAUGUGCCAGCAGCCGCGGUAA